GAGUAACUCCCCUUGGGGAGGGGGAUAACCAUCUGAAAAGGUGGCUAAUACCCCAUAUUCUCCUUUUUUGCCAAAGAAAGGAGGAAAGAUGGCGUAAGCUAUCACCCCGAGAGAGGCUCGCGUCCCAUCAGCUAGUUGGUAGGGUAAUGGCCUACCAAGGCUAUGACGGGUAGCUGGUCUGAGAGGAUGGUCAGCCACACUGGGACUGAGACACGGCCCAGACUCCUACGGGAGGCAGCAGUGAGGAAUCUUGGGCAAUGGGCGAAAGCCUGACCCAGCGACGCCGCGUGGAGGAAGAAGGCCUUCGGGUCGUAAACUCCUGUUCGGGGAGAAGAACAGGAGAGGAGUGAAUAACUUCUCUCCCUGACGGUAUCCCCGGAGAAAGCUCCGGCUAAUUACGUGCCAGCAGCCGCGGUAAUACGUAAGGAGCGAGCGUUGUCCGGAUUUACUGGGCGUAAAGAGCUCGUAGGUGGUUUCUUAGGUCUCACGUGAAAUUCCCUGGCUCAACUGGGGAGGGUCGUGGGAAACCGAGAAGCUAGAGGGCAGGAGAGGAGAGUGGAAUUCCCGGUGUAGCGGUGAAAUGCGUAGAGAUCGGGAGGAACACCAGUGGUGAAGACGGCUCUCUGGACUGUCCCUGACACUGAGGAGCGA
rnacentral:rRNA from 1 species